rnacentral:lncRNA from 1 species
AUCUGCCAUAAGGCCAUCCACCAUAAUCCCAUCCUCCACAAUGUCAUCGUCACAAUGCCAUCCACCAUAAUGCCAUCCACCAUAAUGCUAUCUGCCAUAAGGGCCUUACCAGAGACAAGACAAUGCCAGUGCCAGGCCAAUGCUAGUACCAUGCCCUGAACCUCCACAACUGUGAGUUAAAUACAUCUCUUUUCCUUAAAAAGUAUCCAGGCUAAACUAUUUUAUUAGAGUAGCUAAAAACAGACAAAUACAACAGAUAAACAGAUAUUGAGAUUGUCAAAGACUUAAAAAUAUACACCUAUAUUCCAUGAAAUAAAGAUAAACACUACAAGGGAAUGAAAAGAGAGAGCUUCUCAGCACAAGAACAGAAACUACAAAAAAGAAACAAACAAAAGCUUCUGAACUGAAAAUUCCAACUGAAAUUUACAAUUCCUUGCACAGAUUCAACAACAAAAUAAAGAAGAUUCAAAAUAAAGAAUAGAUGAACAUGAAGAUAGACCAAUGGAAAUUAUCUAAUCUGAACAAUAGAGGUAACAAAAAUUGGGGGGGAAGUCAAAGAGAUUUGGGGACUUGUAGAACAAUAGUAAAAAUUAUAAAACUUUUAUCAUUAAAGUCCCAAAAGGGCAGGAGAAAGAGAGUGGUACAGAAAAACAAAUUUAAACCAUAAUGACUGGAUACUUCCCAAAUUUGAUGUAGGACAUAAAUGUACAGAUUCAAAAAAUUCCAGUCGCGCAGAAGACAGCGAAUCACCCCGCUGCAGACAGGCAGGUCUGCCCACACCCUACCUAGGUCCCCAGUCAGGCGGAACACAUACCGAAUCAGCCAGCUGCAGACAGGCAGGUCUGUGCACGCCCUACCAAGGUCCUGAGUCCCACGGAAGACACCGAAUCACCCCGCUGCAGACAGGCAGCCACCUAGUUCCACACUACAAAGACGCAGAGGACACCAGACCACCAGACCAAGGUCAGAGACAGAGGAUAUCAGAGAUUCAAAACAUGAGAAGGAUCUGAUACACCCUUCUGGCUUAAAGACAAAGGAAGACACAUGGCUAGAAGUGUAGGUGGCCUCUAGGAGCUGAGAAAGCAUCUAUGACAGCCACGCAGGAAAUGGUGGCCUCGUACUCUGGAGAUUCAGUGGAUUCAGCUCCCAGAUGAGAACUCGGUGCAGCCCAUACAGUGUUGAUUGCUUUGUGAACAGAACCAAGCCAUGCCAGACUUCUGAGCUCCAGAAAUGUGAACUAAUCCCAGGUGUUAUUUCAAGUUCCUAAAUGCAUGAUACGUUGUUACACAGGAGUAGAAAACUAACAUAAUCAUAUAUAGCUUUCCAAAUCCAUGCAGAUAAAUAUUUCUAAUUCUUUUUUAAGACUGCAUAUGUAUUACUUUGUCAUUACUUUAAUGCAUCAAAAUAUAUUCAAAUAUAUUCCUAUUUCUAGAAAUCCACCUGGCUUUUAUUUCUUGUUAUUUUUAAAUAAUCCAGAAAACAUCUUUAUGCAUUUGCCUUGAUAUAUCUAUCCUAUUUCCCCCCAUAAGACAGAUUGUUA